rnacentral:rRNA from 1 species
AAAGUAUUAAAGGUCCCGCCUGCCCAGUGACUAACCAUUAAACGGCCGCGGUAUCCUAACCGUGCAAAGGUAGCGUAAUCACUUGUCCCCUAAAUAGGGACUAGUAUGAAUGGCUAAAUGAGGACUUAGCUGUCUCCUUUGAUUAAUCAGUGAAACUGAUCUACCCGUACAAAAGCUGGUAUAAACACACAAGACGAGAAGACCCUGUGGAGCUUAAAACACCUAUGUCAAACCAGCACCUUCUGCCAAAAAUGACAUAGCGUUUUCAGUUGGGGCGACUACGGAAACAAGCCAAACUUCCAAGCCAGAGGCCUACCCCUCCCACCAGAGACAAACAUGUCAAAUUACCACCUGACCCAGAGCCACUCUGAGUAACGAACCAAGUUACCCCAGGGAUAACAGCGCUAUCUUCUUCAAGAGUCCCCAUCGACAAGAAGGUUUACGACCUCGAUGUUGGAUCAGGACACCCUAAUGGUGCAGCCGCUAUUAAAGGUUCGUUUGUUCAACGAUUAAAGUCC